GUCUUCAUAGGUGCUCGCUAAUCGCACUUAGCCUCAACAGUCUGUAGGGGGGAUCUUAAUCUUUGGGGAGCGGUGGCGCAGUGGUUAGUGCCCUACGCUCUGAACCCGGCGACCCCAGUUUGAUUUUCGUUCGGGGUCAACACCAGCGAUGAUUAUCCGAACCGGUCCUGAGCUUCCCCAGGUCGACUCGGCCUCAUCGUACCUGGUGUGAUGCGUAAACAUCGCCACUAGGGAGGCAAAGGCGGCGGGGCGUGAUGCUGGCCACCCACCCUGUCGUGUGCCAUUCCGGCCCUCGCGUGAUCGCUAACGGCACUUGCCCCCAACAGUCUGUUAAGACAACACGGGGAGUCUUGUGUUGGUGGUGGUACUGUGAAACGAUGUUCUUGUUACCCCACAGAUGUUACACACCGCGAUGUUUGGCACAGAUGUGGCGGCCAUCUCGGACACCAUCUUGUUGAGACUUUUCUGCAUGGCGGUGUCAGUGUCUGGGUCCUGCACUCAGCAGCAGCCAGCAGCACACACAGCACACGUGAUCACCACUCGUCGACAUCAAUAGGAUGGCACCCGGUGAAGGAGACAACAUCAUCUCACUACCCCGGUCCCAUUCCUGACUCCCCUCCACACAACAACGUACACAGGGAGUUGCCCUGUACUCUCCUCCACACCGCAAGGUCCACGGGGGAGUGCCUUGCAUUCCCCUACACACAACACAUACGGUGAAGUGCCCAGUACUCUCCUACCCAGAACAAGCUACACGGGGAAACGCCCCGUACUCUCCUACUCACUACAAGAUACACAGGGGAAACGUCCUGUUCUCUCCUACUCACUGUCAGCUACAUGGGAGAGCACCCCGUACUCUCCUACUCACUACAAGAUACACAGGGGAAACGUCCUGUUCUCUCCUACUCACUACAAGAUACACAGGGGAAACGUCCUGUACUCUCCUACUCACUACAAGAUACACAGGGGAAACGCCCUGUACUCUCCUACUUACUAUCAGCUACAUGGGAGAGCACCCCGUACUCUCCUACUCACUACAAGAUACACAGGGGAAACGUCCUGUACUCUCCUACUCACUAUCAGCUACAUGGGAGAGCACCCCGUACUCUCCUACUCACUACAAGAUACACAGCGGAAACGCCCUGUUCUCUCCUACUCACUACAAGAUACACAGGGGAAACGCCCUGUACUCUCCUACUUACUAUCAGCUACAUGGGAGAGCACCCCGUACUCUCCUACUCACUACAAGAUACACAGCGGAAACGCCCUGUUCUCUUCUACUCACUACAAGAUACACAGGGGAAACGCCCUGUACUCUCCUACUCACUACAAGAUACACAGGGGAAACGUCCUGUUCUCUCCUACUCACUAUCAGUUACAUGAGAGAGCACCCCAUACUCUCCUACUCACUACAAGAUACACAGGGGAAACGCCCUGUACUCUCCUACUCACUACAAGAUAUACGGGAGCAUGCCCCUGUACUCUCCUCCACCGCUUCGUCCCGUGUGCACUCCCAGGAGGAAUGGCGCUAACCCAGUGUGAAUUCGAUGUAACCGCAUUGACCGGACGCGCGCUGCGAGUGACUCACGCCGCCGCCUCGCACCCCGCGCCACCAGCCCAGCACCGUCUCCACGCCACGCUCGGUGCCCCAAGCCGAUACCGCCUGGGCUCGCUGGGGUUCACGUCAUUAAAUUACUUACGAGCACGCCACUCAAAUAUCCCAACUCCUGCACUCUCCAAACGAGGGCUCCGAUCGUCGUGAACUCACCUCGAGUCUCCCUAGCCUGGAUCUCCGCACGAAAAGGUGACCGCCUGGUCCUCGCCGUCACUUUCGGACGAAAACUGCAUGCCGCGUCACAAAGGAGCGUGUACCGCCUCAUCGCUGUGCGUCCACUCCCCACGCGGCUCGGUCAACGGUAUCCCGCUGUUUGCUGCCCCCUGCCCCCGGUAUUGUCUUGUCUCUGUCUACCCUUUAGUCCACGAGCCCAGACAAGAUAUUUCACUUGUCGAUACCACCUGAGCAAGGUGACAUCACUUCAGUGGUUUCAAUCUCGAUGUGGCCAACAUAAAAUUAAGUGAUAACCUACUCAACCUGAAGUUAUCAAAUAAUCCAAUUCAUGUUAAGCCUUGUAAAUAAAUCAGAGCGACUGGGAGUUUUGCGACCUUACGUAGUACUAGUUUGUGCUCUGGCCCAUCGACUUUUUAUCGGUCCCUGUGUCUCUCUCCCUGCUUCUCCCUCUCGUCGUCGCGCUCGCCACGUGCUCAUGCUCCUGUUGAGUGUGGCUGUUGCAGCUCCAGUCCAUUGCGCUACCUUUUUCCCUCCCUGCCCUACCAAGGGUCACGUGACUGCAGUGUUCAAAAUAUUUGGCGUCGCGUAUUUAUAUAUUGCUUCCAUUUUUUCGAAUAAUAAAAACAUCUUUCUAUUCUG